AUUGAACGCUGGCGGCAGGCCUAACACAUGCGAGUCGAGCGGAUGAAGGGAGCUUGCUCCUGGAUUCAGCGGCGGACGGGUGAGUAAUGCCUAGGAAUCUGCCUGGUAGUGGGGGAUAACGUCCGGAAACGGGCGCUAAUACCGCAUACGUCCUGAGGGAGAAAGUGGGGGAUCUUCGGACCUCACGCUAUCAGAUGAGCCUAGGUCGGAUUAGCUAGUUGGUGGGGUAAAGGCCUACCAAGGCGACGAUCCGUAACUGGUCUGAGAGGAUGAUCAGUCACACUGGAACUGAGACACGGUCCAGACUCCUACGGGAGGCAGCAGUGGGGAAUAUUGGACAAUGGGCGAAAGCCUGAUCCGGCCAUGCCGCGUGUGUGAAGAAGGUCUUCGGAUUGUAAAGCACUUUAAGUUGGGAGGAAGGGCAGUAAGUUAAUACCUUGCUGUUUUGACGUUACCAACAGAAUAAGCACCGGCUAACUUCGUG
rnacentral:rRNA from 1 species